CACGUAGGGCGCAAGCGUUGUCCGGAAUUAUUGGGCGUAAAGAGCUCGUAGGCGGUCUGUUGCGUCCGCUGUGAAAACUCGGGGCUUAACCCCGAGCCUGCAGUGGAUACGGGCAGACUAGAGGUAGGUAGGGGAGAAUGGAAUUCCCGGUGUAGCGGUGAAAUGCGCAGAUAUCGGGAGGAACACCGGUGGCGAAGGCGGUGGUCUGGGCCGGCACUGACGCUGAGACGCGAAAGCGUGGGGAGCGAACAGG
rnacentral:rRNA from 1 species